rnacentral:rRNA from 1 species
GACAGAGGGUGCAAACGUUGCUCGGAAUCACUGGCGUAAGGCGUGUAGCGGACAGUAAGUCGGCGUGAAUCCUGGCUCAACCAGACUGCACUCGAACUACUAUCUGAGUGUCGAGAGAAGCGAUUCUGUGUAGAGUGAAUUCGUAGAUAUCAGGAGACACAGUGCGAAGCGCUCACUGCUCGUAACUGACGCUCAUUGCACGACAGCGUGGAUCAACAGG